AAACUCGGCAAAAUCGCUCCGUAACUUCGGGAUAAGGAGCGCCCUAGUAGGGUGAAGCGCUUUUCGCGUGGAGUCUGAGGGGGCCGCAGUGUAUAGGUUCAACCGACUGUUUACCAAAAACACAGGGCUCUGCUAAGUCGUAAGACGACGUAUAGGGUCUGACGCCUGCCCGGUGCCGGAAGGUUACGUGGAGGUGUUAGCUGUAAGGCGAAGCACUGAAACUAAGCCCCAGUAAACGGCGGCGGUAACAAUAACCGUCCUAAGGUAGCGAAAUUCCUUGUCGGGUAAGUUCCGACCUGCACGAAUGGCGUAACGAGUUGAACGCUGUCUCAACGAUGGGCUCGGUGAAAUUGCAGUCUCGGUGAAGAUGCCGAGUACCCGUGGCUAGACGGAAAGACCCCGUGCACCUUUACUAUAACCUGGUAUUGGAGUGCGGUGCAUCUCGCUCAGGAUAGGAGGGAGUCUUUGAAGCAUCGGCUGCGGCUGUGUGGAGACAACCUUGAGAUACCUCCCUUGAUGUAUUGUGCUUCUAACACUGCGCCCUUAUCGGGGCAGCGAACAGUGCCAGGCGGGUAGUUUGACUGGGGCGGUCGCCUCCCAAAAUGUAACGGAGGCGCGCAAAGGUUCCCUCAGUACGGUUGGAAAUCGUACAUAGAGUGCAAAAGCAGUAAGGGAGCUUGACUGUGAGACCGACAGGUCGAGCAGGUGCGAAAGCAGGCUUUAGUGAUCCGGCAGUAGCAAGUGGAAGUGCUGUCGCUCAACGGAUAAAAGGUACGCCGGGGAUAACAGGCUUAUCGAGUCCAAGAGUCCACAUCGACGACUCGGUUUGGCACCUCGAUGUCGGCUCGUCGCAUCCUGGGGCUGUAGUAGGUCCCAAGGGUUGGGCUGUUCGCCCAUUAAAGCGGUACGCGAGCUGGGUUCAGAACGUCGUGAGACAGUUCGGUCCCUAUCUGCCAUGGGCGUUGGAGAAUUGAAAGGAUUCGUCCCUAGUACGAGAGGACCGGGAUGAACGCACCUCUGGUGUAUCUGUUGUCCUGCCAAGGGCGUCGCAGGUUAGCUACGUGCGGAACGGGUAACCGCUGAAGGCAUCUAAGCGGGAAGCCGGCCUUGAGAUGAAUUCUCCCACCUCCUUGAGAGGGUAAGACCCCUAGUAGACCACUAGGUUGAUAGGCCGGAUCUGGAAGAGUGGUAACACUCGUAGGAGACCGGUACUAAUGGGUCGAGGGCUUGAU
rnacentral:rRNA from 1 species